rnacentral:rRNA from 1 species
GACGAACGCUGGCGGCGUGCUUAACACAUGCAAGUCGUACGGUAAGGCCCUUUCGGGGGUCCACGAGUGGCGAACGGGUGAGUAACACGUGAGUAACCUGCCCACAACUUUGGGAUAACGCUAGGAAACUGGUGCUAAUACUGGAUAUGUGCUCCUGCUGCAUGGUGGGGGUUGGAAAGCUCCGGCGGUUGUGGAUGGACUCGCGGCCUAUCAGCUUGUUGGUGGGGUAGUGGCCUACCAAGGCGGCGACGGGUAGCCGGCCUGAGAGGGUGACCGGCCACAUUGGGACUGAGAUACGGCCCAGACUCCUACGGGAGGCAGCAGUGGGGAAUAUUGCACAAUGGGCGCAAGCCUGAUGCAGCAACGCCGCGUGCGGGAUGACGGCCUUCGGGUUGUAAACCGCCUUCAGCAGGGACGAAGCUUUUUGUGACGGUACCUGCAGAAGAAGCACCGGCUAACUACGUG